CGUUGACAACCUGAACACGUAGGUCUCUUACUCCCGGACCGUUGAAAUGUCGUCGCUGUCUUUACUUUGUAUGAUUCUACUCUUGGGUGCUCUUCGUUCACAAGAAUAUGACGGAGGAUGUAAACAGGCAUGUCCGAUGUCUUAUAUGCCAGUGUGUGCGGACAAUGGACAGACAUUUGACAAUGAAUGCCAGGUUACUGUCGCGAGUUGCAAACAAAGACGACAGCUAAAGGUCAUACACCGUGGCAACUGUUAAGGAAGACAACUAUCGGGAUUACCUCCCUUUAUCUUACAGAUGUAAAUUUAUCUUCAAUAAAUAUUCU